rnacentral:tRNA from 1 species
GCCGCUAUAGCUCAAUUGGUAGAGCGCCUGAUUUGUAAUCAGGAGGUUGUAGGUUCAAGUCCUAUUAGCGGCU